rnacentral:rRNA from 1 species
UACGGGGGGAGCAAGCGUUGUUCGGAUUUACUGGGCGUAAAGGGCGCGUAGGCGGCCACCGCAAGUCGACUGUGAAAUCUCCGGGCUUAACCCGGAAAGGUCAGCCGAUACUGCGGGGCUAGAGUGCAGAAGGGGCAACUGGAAUUCUCGGUGUAGCGGUGAAAUGCGUAGAUAUCCGGAAGAACACCGGUGGCGAAGGCGGCCUGCUGGGCAGUUUAGCUGACACUGAGGCGCGACAGCGUGGGGAGCAAACAGG